rnacentral:rRNA from 1 species
UAAAUUGAGAGUUUGAUCCUGGCUCAGGAUGAACGCUGGCGGCGUGCUUAACACAUGCAAGUCGAGCGAUGAAGUUUCCUUCGGGAAACGGAUUAGCGGCGGACGGGUGAGUAACACGUGGGUAACCUGCCUCGUAGAGUGGAAUAGCCUUCCGAAAGGAAGAUUAAUACCGCAUAACGUUGAAAGAUGGCAUCAUCAUUCAACCAAAGGAGCAAUCCGCUAUGAGAUGGACCCGCGGCGCAUUAGCUAGUUGGUGGGGUAAC